CUCACAGAUACUCUCCGGCUGUGGGCUAAGUAAGAGCAUGUAAAAGCUUAUGGAUAUACACCUAUAUGGUAUUUCGACAGUCGCUAAUUAGUUUUCCACAGUACAGCCAUCAAAUUAGCCAGCCAAGAUCAUUAACAACGCGACGCCAACACACAAGAGCAGCAAACCAACCAUUUUGGACCACCAAAAUGGCUAUCAGCAGCGGCCCACAGUCCACGGCCCACUGGCCGAUGGUCAGCGGCAUUCGUAUUGGAAAUGUGAGUGUAAAUGCGAGAGUGUGUGCGUGUGUGGGCAGUAGCUCAUCAGCGAACAGACGCCAACAUUUUGCUGCGCUGAUGGACCACAAAAAAAAAACCAUCUCAUAGAUACGCGCGCACACACACACGCACACACGCACACGCACAUAAUUAAACAAAGUUGGGAUUGGCCACUGAUGCCAGCUGUAUGAGAUCAUAACCAACGGAACGGCCAACAACCCAGUUGCGUUGAAAGCUGCUGUCGAGUCUUCAACAAUACCAAAUUAGUUGCCGUCUUUAUGAUUAUUAUUUUGUAUUUUGUUUUUUUUUUUUUUUUUUUGCGUACGUGUUAUUGUUGCUGCCAUAAUUUGUGGGCCGAAGUAAAGGGGAAGGGGCAAAAACACCAUCUCUUAGAUUUUUCGUGUUGUAUAAUUGUGGCAAAAAUAAAAAUGGUGGCUUCUGGAACGUGUUGUAGUCCAACUUGUGGCAAUAGCCAAUGACAAAGUGAAGCGUAAAUUACGUGUAAUAUGAAAAGACACGUUCAAAUGCACAAAACAAACUUCAAAAUUCCUAAUGAUAAACCGCUUUGGAAUAUGCACUUAGAUUAAAGAAAGAAAAAACAGCGCAUAACCUUAAUUUAAUGAAAUACAUAUUUUGUCAGCCAUUAAAAAAGUGUGCUGCAGACGAAUCUUAUCGCGUAUAUGUUAUCAGUUAUGAUUUGUAUUGAUUUUGCUUGACUGAUAAAUAUGGCAUGACAUCAAAGUAAAAAUAAAAUAAAACUGCAAUGGCCUCAAAGUUGUAAAGCUCAAGUAUUUCCAGGAAAACUUGUUGCAAGUACAUUCAAUUUUUACCUUGUGCGUUAAAAUACAAAAAAUUGCUGAUAAAGCAUUAAAGUUCGUCGACAAAAUCUUGAAGUCAAACGAAAUACUUGUAAAUAUAUGUUGCUUAAAAUGCUGAGCGCUGGCAAGCAUUAACAGCUGUUGUCCAUUUGCGGUGGCUUUAAUGAACUUGACCACAAAAGGAUCGCCAAUUGGAUUUGUAUAAAGCUCAUAUUCAUUAUUUCGGCCACUUACAUAUUCUGGCAGCACACGCACACCCACCUAACAGAACUUGGUAAUAACUAACAACUAAUGUAAAAAAAAUAUAUAUAUAUAUAUAUUUGUAUUUAAUAUUUUGAUUUGCUGCGUAAAGUGGCAAGAACAAUGGAAGCAUCAGCGGAAAUACACAGAAAAAAAAAAAACAAAAUGAAACGUUAAAAAAAAAAAAAAUAGGAAUACAAAAACUGAGCGAGGCAAUGACAGCUGUGGCUGCAAGAGCGAAAAGGAGAGUCGUUGCUGUUGUUGCUGUUGUUC